GAUGAACGCUGACAGAAUGCUUAACACAUGCAAGUCGACUCGAGUCUUCGGACUUGGGUGGCGCACGGGUGAGUAACGCGUAAAGAACUUGCCUCUUAGACCGGGACAACAUCUGGAAACGGAUGCUAAUACCGGAUAUUAUGGUUUUUUCGCAUGGAGGAAUCAUGAAAGCUAGAUGCGCUAAGAGAGAGCUUUGCGUCCCAUUAGCUGGUUGGUGAGGUAACGGCCCACCAAGGCAAUGAUGGGUAGCCGGCCUGAGAGGGUGAACGGCCACAAGGGGACUGAGACACGGCCCUUACUCCUACGGGAGGCAGCAGUGGGGAAUAUUGGACAAUGGACCGCAAGUCUGAUCCAGCAAUUCUGUGUGCACGAUGACGUUUUUCGGAAUGUAAAGUGCUUUCAGUCGGGAAGAAGUCAGUGACGGUACCGACAGAAGAAGCGACGGCUAAAUACGUGCCAGCAGCCGCGGUAAUACGUAUGUCGCAAGCGUUAUCCGGAUUUAUUGGGCGUAAAGCGCGUCUAGGCGGCAAGGAAAGUCUGAUGUGAAAAUGCGGAGCUCAACUCCGUAUGGCGUUGGAAACUGCCUUACUAGAGUACUGGAGAGGUAGGCGGAACUACAAGUGUAGAGGUGAAAUUCGUAGAUAUUUGUAGGAAUGCCGAUGGGGAAGCCAGCCUACUGGACAGAUACUGACGCUAAAGCGCGAAAGCGUGGGUAGCAAACAGG
rnacentral:rRNA from 1 species